rnacentral:lncRNA from 1 species
UGGAACCAUCCGGCAAGUUAUCGUGGAUUACCGUCUGAACUUGAAGAUAUGCGGCUUCUAUUGGAGCAACGGUCGGAAGCAGAAGUAAGUAUUAUUGCAAAUAGAUAUUUCCAUACAUUUGUUAGUCGAUUGAUAUUUAGUAUUUAGUAUUUAGUAUUAUGUAUAUAACUAAUAUUUCUAUCAUGUUCAUAUAGUUUCAAUGGACACCAUACGAGGAUUCGGCAAUUCGGGCAGUAAUCUCGGAAGAGUUUUUACAAAAUUCGAAUGCUUGGCACGCGAAAGUGGUGUUGAUCAACUAUACAACCGUGGACCCCCAC